CAUCUUCCUUAAUUUGUAGAAGUUAUAUUUAUUUAUUUAUUUAUUUAUUUAUUUAUUUAUUUAUUUAUUUAGAGAUAGUGUCUUAUGUGGUCUAGCCUGGCCUUGGGCAUUUUAUACAGUUGAUGAUGACCUAGAGUUCCUCAUCCUCCUGCUUCUCCCCCCCAAGACUGAGAUUACAGACAUUUGCCACUGUCCCUCCCUGGCCUAUGGAAAAGGUAUUUUUGUUGCAGGGUAUUUGAUCGCACAGUGAAACCCGAGAUUGUGUUAUUUACUGGACAAAGCAGGUUUUAGCUGUGGUGUGGCUCAGCCUUAGCACACACCUCUAAUCUAAGAGCUUUCUGCUUGAAUAUUAUAAACAGGAUUAAAUAAACUCAGCCAUAGGUCAAGAGGCAAAGCAAGCCACCAGUUGACAGGAAGUGAACAUAGGAUUACUAGGAAAGAACCACAGAGGGUAACAGGGAGUCUAGGGGACGGAUAGAGAGACGCACAGGAAGUGGGGAGGGACACAGUUUGGAGGAGGGGUUUGGACAUGGCAUGAGAGGGGGCAUUCCUUUUGGGAUGACAACUGAGGAGGAAGGUCAGCUGGGUGUUUUCUCUGCUUCUUUGAGCUAGUCGGCAUUCACCGAAGCAUCUGGCUCCCAAGUCUUCAUUGAGAAGCUGUACGUUGAGUAUGGUGGUGUCUGUCUGCCUAUGUCCCCGGCACUUGAAAGAUACAGAAAGAAGAUCAGUGCCCAAGCAAGCCUGAAACGUUAUCCUGUGGGACUGGAGCUACGGAAGACGGUGAGCUGCCACGUGCGUACCGGGAAUCCAACUUUCGUCCUCCGCAAGAGUAAGGAGCAAUCCUUUUUUUGGUUUUUCAAGACAGGGUUUCUCUGUGUAGCCUUGGCUGUUCUGGAAUUCACUCUGUAGAACAGGCUGGCCUCAAACUCAGAGAUCUGCCUGCUUCUGCCUCCCAAGUGCUGGGCAUGAAGGCCCGUGCCACCACUGCCCAGCGAGUAACUAGUGAUCUUUUUUUUUUUUCCUUUUUCUUUUUUUUUUUUCAGAGCUGGGGACCGAACCCAGGGCCUUGCGCUUGCUAGGCAAGCGCUCUACCACUGAGCUAAAUCCCCAACCCUGUAACUAGUGAUCUUAAUCACUGCGCUCAUUUUCUGUCUUCUUUAUAUUUCAUUUCAAUUAUUUUUUUGAGACAGGGUCCCCCCAUAUAGCUGAGGGUGGCCUCAGACUCCUGAGUGCUGAGAUUCCAGGUGAGUGGACCACACCUGGCUCGAUCUCUAUACUAAGUCCCUGUUCUGAAACCAAACAAGCAGAGUUGUGGAGAUGACAGAGAGGGAUGGCAUUGCGUCAUAAAUGCAUUUCUUACUGUUUUCUGAGUGUGUGUACUUGUUUGUCUAUACAGGUGGGCAUGUUUAUGUUUGUGUGUGCACAUGGAGUCUGAGGUCAAUGUUGGUGACUUCCUCAAUUGCUCUCUGUCUUGUUUUUUGAGACAGAGUUUCCCAUGGAACCUAGAGCAGGAUCCAGUGAUCCCCCCAGUCUCUGCCUCUGCAACUGGCUUUCUAUGUCAUUACUGGGAACUGAACUCAGAUCUCCAUGCUUGUACUGGAAACCUUGUACUGAGUCAUCUCCCCAGUCCUGACCUCGAACCUCUGAUUCUCCUGCCUUCACCUCCUAAAUACCAAGACUAGAGCUGUGUGCUGUCAAGCCCAGUUCAUGAGGUGUUGGUGAUUCAAUUCUAAGAACUCUACCAACUGAACUAUAUCCCCAACCCAUGAAUGCAUUUAAUACCACGGAACUGUAGACUUAAAUUGGAUGAUAAAUUUUAUAUUCUGUGAAUUUCGUCGAAUAAAACUUUUCCUAUGUAUAUAUAACAUAAAAUAAGGUUAAAGAAAAAAAUCUGAGGCAGCUAUAGAAAAGCUAAAUUUUAAAAAUAGGGACUUCAACAUUUUUGUCCUUGUCUUAGGGUUUUAUUGCCGUGAGGAGACAUUGUCACCAUACCAACUCUUUUUUUUUUCUUUUUUUUUUUCUUUUUUUUUUCUUUUUUUCGGAGCUGGGGACCGAACCCAGGGCCUUGCGCUUGCUAGGCAAGCGCUCUACCACUGAGCUAAAUCCCCAACCCCGCCAUGCCAACUCUUAUAAGGAAAACAUUUCACUGGGGCUGGCUUACAGUUUCAAAGCUUCAGUCAGUUCAUUAUUGUCAUGGAGGGAAGCAUGGUGGCAUGUGGGCAGACAUGGUGCUGGAGAAGGAGCUGAGACCGCCACACUGGGCCUAGCUUGAACAUAUAAGACCUAAAGCCUGCCUCCACAGUGACACAUCCUCCAGCAAGGCCACACCUACCUGGCACUCCAUCCUCAAUGAGUUAAGCAUUCAAACACAUGAGUCUGUGGAAGCCAUUCCUAUUCAAACUACCACAGCCCUGUUUAAUUAGAAGUCUGUACAUCUCCCCCUCCCCCCCCUUUUGAGACAAGGUUUCUCUGUGUACCCUGGCUGUCCUAGAACUUGCUCUGUAAACCAGGCUGGCCUUGAACUCACAAAAUACCUCCUGCUUUUGCCUCCCAAGUGCUGGGAUUAAAGAGAUUAGAUACGAUUACUGGCUCCAUGCAUACAAUUUGAAAUAAUAAAACCAAGUAUUUUUUUUAAGAGAAAAUAUUUAAAAAAGGGACAAGUAGAAUAGAAAGACUAGCGGAGGCCAAACGACAGAGAUAAUACUAGAUAAUACUAGAAAGUUAUGAGAAAAAUAUAUUUAGAACCUAGAAACUAAAUGAUCUCUUGGGGGAAUGAAUAUUUAUACAGAUAGAGGGAGAUAUCUGAUGGGAGACAGGGACCAGCAAUGAGACCUCGGAGGAUGAGGUGGGAGCAACCAGAACAGCAGAAUGUCAAAAACAUCAGGUAAAAAGCCGGUAUGGUGGCUUCAUCCCAGCACUCAGCAGGCAGAGGCAUGCAGACCUCUGUGAGCUCAAGGCCAGCUUGGUCUACAAAGAAAGUUCCAGAAAAGCCAGGGCUGUUGCAUAGAGAAACCCUAUCUUGAAAAAAGCAAAACCAAACUAACAACAACAACAAACCAGGUAAAGAAAUUACCCUGUGACUGACCUUUGGGUAUGGACACCUGGAGAUCUUAGGCAGUGUUCACGUGAGAGAUUUUAGGUAGUGAGUUAGGGCAGAAGCCUGCCCGAGAAUGGAUUCAAGAGACAUUGAGGGGGCGUGCAUGCAUCAGAAUUCUAUGCCUGUGUAAAAGGACCAGUGAUUUAGAAAGAUAUAGAAAGAUCUCAAAGACCCGAGGCAAAGUAAAAAAAAAGGAACAAUAAAGACCGGAGCAAUGGCUCAGCUGUAAGACUUCUGGCUGCUCUUCCACUGGGCCUAGAUCCAUUCCCAGAACCCGUGUGGGAGCUCACAAGUGUCUGGAACUACAGUUCUGGAGGAUAAACACCCAUACGCAUAAAAUAAACAAUAAACUCAUCUUUUCAACAAGAAUGGGACUUACAAAAUGGCUCGUUGGAUAAAAUCCGGAGGACCUUAGAUCUCUUUGCCUCAUAUAGUUAAAGGGGAGAGGGAAGUUGUCUUAUAACUUCCAUACAUGGUCUGUGACACGAGCGCCACCCCCACCCCAUAAGUGUAUAAAACGUUUUAAAGAGCAUUUAUACUUUGGUGGUAGAACACUUGUUUAGCUUGUGUGAGGCCCCUGGGUUUCUCCUUAGAACAGAGAGGAGGAGAGAGAGAAAAGGAGAUGUUUUUUGUUACUAGUUUUUGACAUGUGUGUUUUGUUUUAUGUAUAUUCGUAUUUUUCAUAAAUAUGUAUGGGACUUCACGUGUGCCUGAUGCCAAAAGAGGUCCAAAGAGGGUGUCAGAUCACCUCGAACUGGAGCUACAGAUGACAGUGAGCUGCCAUGGACAAACCUGCUCAUCAGUACGUGGGCCAACGGACCGACGAGAAACUGUCAAAGGAAGGACGAGGGGGAGGCUUGAGCGAUGACUCAGCAGUGCUCUGGCAGAGCGCCCAGGUUUGAUUCCCAGCACCCGAGUAGUGGCUCGAAACCAUCUGCAACUCCAGUUCCCGAGGAUUCAUUCCCUCUUCUGGCCUCUGCGAGCCCCAGAAUACACAGACAUGUAUGCGGUGGGGCAAAUCACCCACUAAAAGAAAUACUUUUGAAAAAUGUAUUCCUCUCUCACACAAUACAUCCCGACUGCAGUUUCCCUUCCUUUUACUCCUCCCAGUUCUCCCUCCCACUUCCCCUCUCCCCCAGGUCCACACCUCCUCUGCUUCCCUUCAGAAAAGAGCAGGCCUCCCAGGGAUAUCAACUGAAGAGGGAACAUGACACAAGACAAGGCACAAACCUUCAUCUCAAGGCUGGAUGAGGUGACCCAGUAGGAGGAAAGGGUCCCAAGAGCAGGCAAAAGAGUCAGAGACAGCCCUUCUCCCACUGCUAGGCGUUCUACAAAAACACCAAGCUAACAGCCACAGCAUGUGUGCACAUGACUUAACAGAGACCCAGUUCUUCCUCCGUCCGACUCCUCUUCAGGGAUCCUGGAAUUCCAAGGGGAAGAUGAAUCCAAUGAAGAACUCCAACUUGGGCUUUCUCUCCACCUAAUGUCUGCCUGGGGGCUCUCUGCAUCUGUUCCCAACCACUGCUGGGGGAAGCCUCUCUGAGGAUGACUGGGCGAGGCACUGAUCUGUGGGUAGACCAGAAUAUCAUUGGAAAUCAUUUUACCGAUUUUAAGAAAUAAAUUUUUUAAAUGAAA